rnacentral:rRNA from 1 species
GAUGAACGCUGGCGGCGUGCUUAACACAUGCAAGUCGAACGAAGCACUUUAUUUGAUUUCCUUCGGGACUGAUUAUUUUGUGACUGAGUGGCGGACGGGUGAGUAACGCGUGGGUAACCUGCCUUGUACAGGGGGGUAACAUUUGGAAACGGCUGCUCAUACCGCAUAAGCGCACGGCAUCGCAUGAUGCAGUGUGGAAAACUCCGGUGGUAUAAGAUGGACCCGCGUUGGAUUAGCUAGUUGGUGAGGUAACGGCCCACCAAGGCGACGAGGCAUAGCCGACCUGAGAGGGUGCCCGGCCACAUUGGGACUGAGACACGGCCCCAACUCCUACGGGAGGCAGCAGUGGGGAAUAUUGCACAAUGGGCGAAAGCCUGAUGCAGCGACGCCGCGUGAGCGAAGAAGUAUUUCGGUAUGUAAAGCUCUAUCAGCAGGGAAGAUAAUGACGGUACCUGACUAAGAAGCACCGGCUAAAUACGUG